UACGUAGGGGGCAAGCGUUGUCCGGAUUUAUUGGGCGUAAAGCGCUCGCAGGCGGCUCGAUGCGUCGUGCGUGAAACACCCCGGCUCAACUGGGGAGGGUCGUGCGAUACGGUCGGGCUGGAGGCCAGUAGGGGGAUGCGGAAUUCCGGGUGUAGUGGUGGAAUGCAUAGAGAUCCGGAGGAACACCAGCGGCGAAGGCGGCAUCCUGGACUGGUACUGACGCUCUGAGCGAAAGCG
rnacentral:rRNA from 1 species